GCAGUGUACCCGCGGCAAGACGGAAAGACCCCGUGAACCUUUACUAUAGCUUGACACUGAACAUUGAGCCUUGAUGUGUAGGAUAGGUGGGAGGCUUAGAAGUGUGGACGCCAGUCUGCAUGGAGCCGACCUUGAAAUACCACCCUUUAAUGUUUGAUGUUCUAACGUUGACCCGUGAUCCGGGUUGCGGACAGUGUCUGGUGGGUAGUUUGACUGGGGCGGUCUCCUCCUAAAGAGUAACGGAGGAGCACGAAGGUUGGCUAAUCCUGGUCGG
rnacentral:rRNA from 1 species